rnacentral:rRNA from 1 species
CUACGGGAGGCUGCAGUGGGGAAUAUUGGACAAUGGGCGAAAGCCUGAUCCAGCAAUGCCGCGUGAGUGAUGAAGGCCUUAGGGUUGUAAAGCUCUUUUACCCGGGAUGAUAAUGACAGUACCGGGAGAAUAAGCUCCGGCUAACUCCGUGCCAGCAGCCGCGGUAAUACGGAGGGAGCUAGCGUUAUUCGGAAUUACUGGGCGUAAAGCGCACGUAGGCGGCUUUGUAAGUAAGGGGUGAAAGCCCAGAGCUCAACUCUGGAAUUGCCCUUUAGACUGCAUCGCUCGAAUCAUGGAGAGGUCAGUGGAAUUCCGAGUGUAGAGGUGAAAUUCGUAGAUAUUCGGAAGAACACCAGUGGCGAAGGCGGCUGACUGGACAUGUAUUGACGCUGAGGUGCGAAAGCGUGGGGAGCAAACAGGAUUAGAUACCCGCGUAGUC